GACCUACUCUUACUAACUGUUCUGGCCCCGGCAUCUAGAACAAUGGCUGGUUGAUGUCUUCCAAGGUGUAUGAAGAGUAUUACUCGUGAUAUGCCACAUGAUUUUAGAUGACUCCUGCCUUUCUGCCUCUCCCAAGAGUUUCCUGGCCAUGAUAUUCUUUGAAGACCCUGCUCAGAGACCAGAAAACAUGAUUUCCUGUAACAUAGCACCAAGAAGCAAUAGAAAGACCAUUUGAUUUCUUCUCAGUAAUGGUAUUUGUCCUGGAGCAUUGUCCUACCUUCAAGCCCUAAAUCCAACUUCUCCUAUAUGCCCAUAUUUAAGCAAGCCAGUGGAUUUUGACACUCUGACUCUAUCUACAUAGUCACAAGCACAGGUCUCCAGGUUUGGGGGCUGCCCUGGGACUAAGCCUAUGGGUCCCUGGAGGCGAAACUGCCAACGUGAGGACACGUCAGAGCUUGCACGGAACUAUCCACCUCAACGGCACUGAAACCCAAGGUGGGCUCCAGGGACGUGCAGCUGGCACAGAGGAGUCACUACAGCCACAUCCACCUGGAAAUGGAAGAGCCAGAACUCAGUCCUCCAGCUGAAUGUGACAUUCCUGCUUCAAACUUUCUGGAGCUUCCCUAUGGCCUAACUCAAGGAACAGGAACGGGCCUCAGAUCCUUCAAGCCCUGAGCGUGUGUGUAUAUGGGUAUUUGGAGGGAUGAGAAGGUUCAUAAUUUUCAUUGUAUUUUCAAAAGUGUCCAUGUAGAAGUGUUUAAGAACCUCAGACAUAAAGCCCAAACGCUUAACAUGGCAGACGAGGUCGGCACGAUCCGCGCUAACUGAACUCUCCAGGGCCCCGUCUCCUGCCAGUGCCUCUACACAUCCUCCCUGGCUGGGUGAGCCUUUAAAUUCCAGUCACAGAACUUCUCACCCGUCUCCAACAGGCCAUAAGCCCUUUAAUACCUCUUGGAUUUAACACACGCCCUUCUCUCUGCCAGGAAUGCCAUUCCCCCUUUGCUACUUUCUCGGCUCCUUCCCUGCCUAGGAAUUACCUCUUAUCCUUUAAGACUCAGCAAUAAAAUUACCUAGUCUGCUGGGCCCCCUUCUCCUGUCUCCUUCCCAGUUUCCUUCUCAACAGUUUCCUGACCCAUCGACACAGCGAUGCAUGUGAAGCUUACCCCUUGGUAUUGCUAUUGUUCAUGUGCUGGUUUCUUCCCCCCAUUAGUAAAAUCUUAAGAGAACGGAUCAUGCCUCUCACUGUCCCAAACCAUAAUCUGCAACAGCACAUAAUACUACAUU